rnacentral:rRNA from 1 species
UGGGGAAUCUUGCGCAAUGGGCGAAAGCCUGACGCAGCGACGCCGCGUGGGGGAUGAAGCUUCUCGGAGUGUAAACCCCUUUCGACCUAGAUGAAAUGCCCCGCAAGGGGAACUGACAGUAUAGGGAGAAGAAGCCCCGGCUAACUACGUGCCAGCAGCCGCGGUAAGACGUAGGGGGCCAGCGUUGCUCGGAAUUACUGGGCGUAAAGGGUUCGUAGGCGGUGCGGCAAGUCUGAAGUGAAAUCUCCCGGCUCAACUGGGAGGCUGCUUUGGAAACUGCUGUGCUCGAGUCCGGGAGAGGCGCGUGGAAUUGCAGGUGUAGCGGUGAAAUGCGUAGAUAUCUGCAGGAACACCAGAGGCGAAAGCGGCGCGCUGGACCGGUACUGACGCUGAGGAACGAAAGCUAGGGGAGCAAACAGG